rnacentral:rRNA from 1 species
UACGUAGGGACCAAGCGUUGUUCGGAUUUACUGGGCGUAAGGGCGCGUAGGCGGCAAUUCAAGUCAUCUGUGAAAUCUCCGGGCUUAACCCGGAACGGUCAGAUGAUACUGCUUUGCUAGAGUGCGGAAGGGGCAAUCGGAAUUCUUGGUGUAGCGGUGAAAUGCGUAGAUAUCAAGAGGAACACCUGAGGUGAAGACGGGUUGCUGGGCCGACACUGACGCUGAUAGCGCGAAAGCCAGGGGAGCAAACGGG